rnacentral:lncRNA from 1 species
UUUUUAAAACCCGGCAAUAAUCCCACGAGACAAAGUCGGAGAAUAAAAUGUUUUAGCUAUAUCGCUUCUCUAUGCAUCUUUUGUUAUAUUAAAUGAAAUGUUAACAGGUAAAACAGUAAUGACAUUUUUAAAAAGAAUCAAUUAAAAAUAAAGACUAAUAGGUUAAUUUAUGGACACACGGUUUAUUAUAGAAUUUUAGCUAACGUUUUAAAUUGUGGUUGCUCAACUUAAGUCAUCAAGGUCGGUGACCUCAUAAACUGUUUCACGAUUCUGAUCCCAAGAUCGAUUUGGAUCGACUUCACCAUGUAUUUCUAUUGUUUUACCAGUUAAUCGAUUCGGAAUAUCGCCAGUGACGUCGCCUAGUUGUUAUCUGGCUAUGAUUAUCGUCAUUGGUCGAACGCGUAUUCG